CUCCACCAUGCACCUUGUGACCCCCUCCCGUGCUGACAACAGAUAACCACCUUUAACUCUAACUUUCCACUGCCUACCCCAGUCCUAUAAAGCUGCCCCUCUCUUAUCUCCCUUCACUGACUGUCUUUUUGGACUCAGCCCACUUGCAUCCGAGUGAAUAAACAGCCUUGCUGCUUACACAAAGCCUGUUUAGGUGGUCUUCUAUAUGGACACGCAUGACAAUAUUUACAACAAAUACCAAGGAAGAGCUAAGAGCACAUAGCAUUUCCCAGGCUUAUUAGACUGUGGGAUCAACCUCUUUAAGAAAGCAUUUUGCAGAAUUGUUGUUCACAGGUCAUUCUGCAGUGUGAAGUUUUUUUUGCAAUAAGAUCCUUACUCUAGAGUUAACUUCACUAGGAAGUACACUCUGGGUGUUUACCUUUAGAGCUUCAGUUUCUACAAGAAUUUGGCACCGGUUGGGUCUUGUAGAAAUAUUUACUGCAUGGAGUUGAAAGAAGAGUCUGGACUGGGAGAAGGAUGUAUGGAUAAAGAACAAGAUGCCAGUGUUCUGGGGUAGGUGGAGCAGGUGUUGCUGUCCACAUACCUGAGCCUCAGAACUUCUUCCGGGAUUAUGUGACUCAUAAAUCCAGCAACAAGAACUGACUUUUCCUGGCUGUCAUUUCAGGGUUCUUUUCAGAAAACCAAGCAGCUACUGGAUACUGACCUUAUUCUAAAGGCCAACAGAAGUGGAAUAAGGUGCAAUUUGGAAUUCAAUCAAUAUUGAAGGAUGACGGUGACCUUUGGGAAAUAGGAUUCAGCGAUGUCUUUUUAAAUUCUGUUAUUUGUACAUAACGCACUCUUACAGAUUUUUUAAAAAAUCCAAUUCCACAUGAAAAACUUUUACACUGAAUUUAUUACAUUUUUAAAAAUACAUAAACUCAGACUUUAUUUUUUAUUUUUUCUUAUUUCCCUUGCUGCUGCCUAUAGGAUCUUGCACACUUGUGGCCAGUCACUCUAAAAGCAGCAAGCAUGUCUCAUGGGACUACAAACAGAGAGGCAUGCAUUUGUAUUUUUGUGGUCCUAGGACAUGGGACCAGUGCUCAUGCUGUAGGGGUUUGUGCCCAGGGAGGCUUGAGGAUGCCUGAGAAAAAGUGAUUGGGUGUCUAAACUCCAUGGCAAAAUGUCGCUUCCUAAAUAUGCCAUCUGAGUCCUUGAGAGUUGUAAUUACUCAUGGUGGCAUUCUAGCCCUGUCCUCUUUCAGCCUUAAUAAAAAAAUCAACCAACAAGUAGUGAACAUGAGACCUAAAAUGUGCUCCUUUGCGUUGAUUAUUUCUUGGCAAAUCAUGUUUUAGAAGCUCAUUAGCAGUAUGUUUUAUCAAAGAAAUAAAAGAGUUUCACACUUUCUUUUCUCUCAAUUAUCCUGUGAUAUUUCUAUUUCCUUUUGCUGAUAUCUCAGUGAGUAAAUUUACUCCUGGACAUUAUUUUAACUCAUUUUGAUGCAAACUGACUGAGGGAUAAGUAAUUGUGAAUUACUGAGGUCAAGCAGGAGGUUAUGCAUAUCGCUUUUAAAUGUUACUGACACAUCUACCAUUUUCUUAUGAGAAGUUUAUUGUUGGACCAUGUUUUCUUAGUACUUUUAAUUAAUUUACCAAUUCAAUGUAAGGGUCUUGGGGAGAAAUAUGAAAUAUCCUUCUUAAGAAGUAAAUUUUUGAUUCUUUCCUUUAUAAAGUUCUCAGAAAACAUUGCUCUUUAUAAAUGUUGGCAAGGGGCUAUACACUAGGUUCUUGAAUUUGAACAUUAAGAAAAU
rnacentral:lncRNA from 10 species